UACGUAGGGGGCAAGCGUUGUCCGGAUUUACUGGGCGUAAAGGGUGUGUAGGCGGUUGCUUAAGUUUGGUGUGAAAUCUCCCGGCUCAACUGGGAGGGUGCGCCGAAUACUGAGUGACUAGAGUGCGGGAGAGGAAAGUGGAAUUCCUGGUGUAGCGGUGAAAUGCGUAGAUAUCAGGAGGAACACCGGUGGUGUAGACGGCUUUCUGGACCGUAACUGACGCUGAGACACGAAAGCGUGGGUAGCAAACAGG
rnacentral:rRNA from 1 species